rnacentral:lncRNA from 1 species
GGACACUUGGAGGGGAGAAAACUCAAGGGAGGGACUGAUUUCCCAGAGGACAAUCCAUUUUCCAGUGACCCUACUGUCCACAGUUGGGACAUGGCCUUGUAGGAAGCCCGAGAAAAGGGCAAGCUUUUGUUUAGUGGCCCAGAUUGCUGUAGUGAACCGUCCCUAGCAAGGAGAAGGAAACAAGAGGAUAAGAUCAGUAUUUGAGAAAGAAAGAUGAAGGCAAACAGGCCCCUCAACACCUGCUACCUCAUGGAGGGGCUGAUAAAUUAUCAAGAUCUCAGAGAAUUUGGAUAUUGAAAGUACCCUCAGCUGGCCAGCAUAACCCAUUAUGGGCCGGUGGGGGGUGUCAGCCUUGGAAGAAGGCAGAUUCCUGAGUAACCAGGAUGUCACAGGACUCUGUCAGCAAGAAUCUUGUUUACCUUGUAGCAGAGCAGUGGUCAGUAGUUAGGGGAAAUGUGUGUGUGGGGAGAGGAACCUGAGUGGGGAGCUGCUAGGAGAGACUACUUUCACCUAGGAGAAUUGAGUUUCUUUUAAGUUCUGCUUCAUUCAUUCAUUCAUUCAUUCAUGUAUUCAUGUACAGGGCAUUAAACUCAGGAACUUGCACUUGCAAGGCAGGCGUGGCACCAAUGAGAUGGCGGGUGGUGUUCCUGUCCAGGUUCUAUUACUUAUCUCCAAAUAACAGCCAACAUCCUGAUUUCUGAGAAGACAUAAAUCAGUCCAGAGCAAC